rnacentral:rRNA from 2 species
UUUUUUUUUUCACGGGGGGCUCCACAAUGGACGAAAGUCUGAUGGAGCAACGCCGCGUGAGUGAAGAAGGGUUUCGGCUCGUAAAACUCUGUUGUUAAAGAAGAACAUAUCUGAGAGUAACUGUUCAGGUAUUGACGGUAUUUAACCAGAAAGCCACGGCUAACUACGUGCCAGCAGCCGCGGUAAUACGUAGGUGGCAAGCGUUGUCCGGAUUUAUUGGGCGUAAAGCGAGCGCAGGCGGUUUUUUAAGUCUGAUGUGAAAGCCUUCGGCUCAACCGAAGAAGUGCAUCGGAAACUGGGAAACUUGAGUGCAGAAGAGGACAGUGGAACUCCAUGUGUAGCGGUGAAAUGCGUAGAUAUAUGGAAGAACACCAGUGGCGAAGGCGGCUGUCUGGUCUGUAACUGACGCUGAGGCUCGAAAGUAUGGGUAGCAAACAGGAUUAGAUACCCUGGUAGUCCAUACCGUAAACGAUGAAUGCUAAGUGUUGGAGGGUUUCCGCCCUUCAGUGCUGCAGCUAACGCAUUAAGCAUUCCGCCUGGGGAGUACGGCCGCAAGGCUGAAACUCAAAGGAAUUGACGGGGGCCCGCACAAGCGGUGGAGCAUGUGGUUUAAUUCGAAGCUACGCGAAGAACCUUACCAGGUCUUGACAUACUAUGCAAAUCUAAGAGAUUAGACGUUCCCUUCGGGGACAUGGAUACAGGUGGUGCAUGGUGUCGUCAGCUCGUCGGUU